GACGAACGCUGGCGGCGUGCUUAACACAUGCAAGUCGAACGGAAAGCCCCUGCUUUUGUGGGGUGCUCGAGUGGCGAACGGGUGCGUAACACGUGAGUAACCUGCCCUUGACUUUGGGAUAACUUCAGGAAACUGGGGCUAAUACCGGAUAGGCGCUCCUGCUGCAUGGUGGGGGUUGGAAAGUUUCGGCGGGUGGGGAUGGACUGGCGGCUUAUCAGCUUGUUGGUGGGGUAGUGGCUUACCAAGGCUUUGACGGGUAGCCGGCCUGAGAGGGUGACCGGCCACAGUGGGACUGAGAUACGGCCCAGACUCCUACGGGAGGCAGCAGUGGGGAAUAUUGCACAAUGGGCGGAAGCCUGAUGCAGCAACGCCGCGUGCGGGAUGACGGCCUUCGGGUUGUAAACCGCUUUCGCCUGUGACGAAGCGUGAGUGACGGUAAUGGGUAAAGAAGCACCGGCUAACUACGUG
rnacentral:rRNA from 1 species